UACAGAGGUCUCAAGCGUUGUUCGGAUUCAUUGGGCGUAAAGGGUGCGUAGGCGGCGCGGUAAGUCGGGUGUGAAAGUCUCGGAGCUUAACUCCGAAACUGCAUUCGAUACUGCCGUGCUUGAGGACUGGAGAGGAGACUGGAAUUUACGGUGUAGCGGUGAAAUGCGUAGAUAUCGUAAGGAAGACCAGUGGACGGAAGGCGGGUCUCUGGACAGUUCCUGACGCUGAGGCACGAAGGCCAGGGGAGCAAACGGG
rnacentral:rRNA from 1 species